GAGGGAUAUUGGUCAAUGGGCGCAAGCCUGAACCAGCGACGCCGCGUGGGUGAAGAAGGUCUUCGGAUCGUAAAGCCCUUUUCCCACUGAAGAGGAAGGACGGUAGGUGGGGAAGAAGUCUCGGCUAACUACGUGCCAGCAGCCGCGGUAAAACGUAGGAGACAAGCGUUAUCCGGAGUUACUGGGCGUAAAGGGCGUGCAGGUGCGUCUUAAGUCUGUUGUGAAAGCGCCUGGCUUAACCGGGCGAGGCCAAUGGAGACUGAGAGGCUGGAGGACGGCGGAGGGGUGUGGAAUUCCGGGUGUAGUGGUGAAAUGCGUAGAGAUCCGGAGGAACACCAGAGGCGAAGGCGGCACUCUAAGCCGUACCUGACACUGAGACGCGACAGCACGGGGAGCAAACG
rnacentral:rRNA from 1 species